GCUCAUCCACACAUUCUUUCAUUCAGCACUCACCUCUUUAACCUGAGCGCUGUUUGGGGCGCUGAGAACCAGGGCAAGUCCAGCCCAGUCCUGCCUUCCAGAUUCUUGUAUUCUAGAAUCCCAGCUACCCUGACUCAGGGCCCAGCAACAGGGGCGCUUACACAGCCCCAUCAGACAUCAACUACCCGUUUCUAUGGCUCUGCUGGGGGCCCUGCUCCCCUGCCUUCCCCCUUCUACCCUGUAUAGGUUUACCUGUCUCAGGCUUGGAGUACUCCAGGCACAGCACCUCAGCAUCAUGGGCUUCCACUUUGACCAGCUCAUCCAUGAAGUGUAGCUCGUGGAUCCUGGGAGACAUACUGUCCACUGUACCCUACCCAGAGCCCCCGCCCCUCGGCUCUAGGUGCUCUGCCACUGCUAGAGAAUGUCAGAAUGUUGCCCGCGAGGCAACAUGGGGGACUCUCUGCCCUGGCCAGCUAGUCGAGAGAUGCCUAACCAUUCUUUUCCUCUAGAAACCUGCUUUCUCAAAGGCUAUCUAGGAUGAUAUAAGAGCCAGUUAUCCCAGGUCCUCCACUCUAGCUGUGUGACCUUAGCUUAGCCACCGGCCUCUCCUGCCUCAUUAACCUAUCUGGACAUGGAGCUAAUACCAGCACUUGCAUCAGAGAGAGCAGCAGACAUAGGCAGAGGGAGAAGCAGGCUCCCUGCAGGGAGCCCGACGUGGGACUCAAUCUCAGGACCCCGGGACCACGCCCCAAACCAAAGGCAGACACUCAACCACUGAGCACCCAGGAGCCCCCAGAACUCCAAAUUUAACCUUCUCUACUGAGAAUAACUGUUUCCUACCCUCCCCUGCAGCUAGAUGAGGCUCUGUGAAUAAAUUCUGGUCAAUGAGAUAUAAAACAAGUGAGAACCCUUCUGCUUCCUUUUCCUUUGUUCUUCUACCUGGAGCUCUAGCAGCCAUAUUGGAUGACAUGGUCAAGGGCUACUCCAAAAUGACAGAGUGGAGAGCUGAAGGCUCUUGGGUCUCUAAGGACUUCCUAUA